rnacentral:rRNA from 1 species
AUUGAACGCUGGCGGCAGGCCUAACACAUGCAAGUCGAACGGUAACAGGGAUCAGCUUGCUGAUUCGCUGACGAGUGGCGGACGGGUGAGUAAUGUCUGGGAAACUGCCUGAUGGAGGGGGAUAACUACUGGAAACGGUAGCUAAUACCGCAUAACGUCGCAAGACCAAAGAGGGGGACCUUCGGGCCUCUUGCCAUCGGAUGUGCCCAGAUGGGAUUAGCUAGUAGGUGGGGUAACGGCUCACCUAGGCGACGAUCCCUAGCUGGUCUGAGAGGAUGACCGGCCACACUGGAACUGAGACACGGUCCAGACUCCUACGGGAGGCAGCAGUGGGGAAUAUUGCACAAUGGGCGCAAGCCUGAUGCAGCCAUGCCGCGUGUAUGAAGAAGGCCUUCGGGUUGUAAAGUACUUUCAGCGGGGAGGAAGGGAGUAAAGUUAAUACCUUGGCUCAUUGACGUUACCCGCAGAAGAAGCACCGGCUAACUCCGUG